UACAGAGGGGGCAAGCGUUGUUCGGACUUACUGGGCGUAAAGGGCGCGUAGGCGGCCUGCUAAGUCGAACGUGAAAUCCCUGGGCUCAACCCAGGAACUGCGUCCGAUACUGGUUGGCUUGAAUCCGGGAGAGGGAUGCGGAAUUCCAGGUGUAGCGGUGAAAUGCGUAGAUAUCUGGAGGAACACCGGUGGCGAAGGCGGCAUCCUGGACCGGCAUUGACGCUGAGGCGCGAAAGCCAGGGGAGCAAACGGG
rnacentral:rRNA from 1 species